GUGCCUAACACAUGCAAGUCGAACGAGAAAGUGGAGCAAUCCAUGAGUACAGUGGCGACCGGGUGAGUAACACGUGACUACCUACCCUUGAGUGGGGGAUAACCCCGGGAAACCGGGGCUAAUACCGCAUAAUAUCGAGAGAUCAAAGGAGCAAUCCGCUUUUGGAGGGGGUCGCGGCUGAUUAGCUAGUUGGUAGGGUAAUGGCCUACCAAGGCGAAGAUCGGUAUCCGGCCUGAGAGGGCGCACGGACACACUGGAACUGAAACACGGUCCA
rnacentral:rRNA from 1 species